UUGAUCUGCCCAGCUUGCCUGGGUCCUUCUGUGUGCCCUCCUCGUCAGUGCUUGCCUGGAUCCUGCCUUGUGUUGUACUUUUGCAGGUGUUUUAUCCUGACAUGAAGCUCCUGCCCUCACUCAUGUUUGAUCUCACUCAAACUACAACUUGAGUUCUUUCUCAAGCUGGAGGCCUUUGGCUCAAAGCUUUGGGCAUGGUCUGUAGGUCACAUGGCGGCAUGGAUGGAUACACUGACCUCCCUUGCUAUUCCCCUUACCAUAGAGCUUAGAGACAGCAGCAGGUGAGGGGAGAGGGACGCUGUACACCGAGCUGGGUUAGAUUUUCAUUCCUAUCACUUAUUAGCUGUGCCACCUAGGUUAGUCACACGGUUCCCAGUUCUCAGUUUCUUCUUCUGUAAAAUGGGGAUUGGAAAAGGCUAACUGUACCCUACCUCCCAUGCAGGAGCUUUGCAAGUCAUAAAGUCCAGUGCAAAUGCAAGAGAUUGUUAGAAAACAAUCCUGGGGAAAGGGAAGUGAUGGAGGGCGUGGACUAGUCCACUCUCCUGCAGUUCUGCAGCCUCCUGGCUCUCUCUGAUUGCCCAGUAGAUAAGCCUUCCGCAAGACAAGGCCUAAAAAGCUUGGUCUGCCUAUUGUCCUAGGACUCCAACCGCAGCUGGGGUUCCUUCUGAUUUUUUUUUUUUUUUUGAUGGAGUUUCACUCUUGUCACCCAGGCUGGAGUGCAGGGGCACGAUCUCAGCUCACUGCAACCUCUGCUUCCCAGGUUCAAGUGAUUCUACUGCCUCAGCCUCCUGAGUAGCUGGGACUACAGACGCCGGCUACCAUGCCCGGCUAAUUUUUUUUUGUAUUUUUUAGUAGAGACAAGGUUUCACCAGACGAGGUUGGCCAGGCUGGUCUCGAACUCCUGACCUCAGGUGAUCCACCUGCCUUGGCCUCCCAAAGUGCUAGUAUUACAAGCGUGAGCAACCAUGCCCAGCCGUUCCUUCUGAUCUUAGAUGAUGCCUUAGUGAUUUCACUUACUUUCUAUUCCUUAGAAAAGAACUUGGAAUAUCCCAUGCUAGAGAGGUACAGUUCUGAUCACACUGCUCUUAUACUUAAAACUCUUAAUUUACUUCUAA
rnacentral:lncRNA from 1 species